rnacentral:rRNA from 1 species
UCUUUUUGAUAUUUAUUUAAGGUCGGGCCUGCCCAAUGAUUUAUUUAAUGGCUGCAGUAUUUUAACUGUACGAAGGUAGCAUAAUCAUUUGUUUAAUAAUUUUAGACUAGUAUGAAAGGUUUUAUAAGAAUUAUACUUUCUUAUUUAUAUAAAUAAGAAAUUAUUUUUUUAGUUAAAAAACUAGAAUUUUUUUAUAGGACGAGAAGACCCUAUAGAACUUUAAUAAUUUUAUAUCUAUAUAUAAGUAUAAAAUUAUUAAGUUGGGGUGAUUAAAAUUUUUAAUUAACAAUUUUUUAUUUUUAUCAUUAAUUUUUGAUUUUUUGAUUCAAUUUUUUUGAUUAUAAGAUUAAGUUACCUUAGGGAUAACAGCGUAAUUUAAUUGGAGAGUUCUUAUCGAUAAUUUAAGUUUGCGA